rnacentral:misc_RNA from 1 species
AUUGGACACAGUACUACUGGUUGAUC